AACGAACGCUGGCGGCAGGCCUAACACAUGCAAGUCGAACGCCCCGCAAGGGGAGUGGCAGACGGGUGAGUAACGCGUGGGAACCUACCCAGUGGUACGGAACAACCCAGGGAAACUUGGGCUAAUACCGUAUACGCCCCCAGGGGGAAAGAUUUAUCGCCAUUGGACGGGCCCGCGUUGGAUUAGCUAGUUGGUGGGGUAAUGGCCUACCAAGGCAACGAUCCAUAGCUGGGCUGAGAGGAUGAUCAGACACACUGGGACUGGUACACGGCCCUGUGUGGUACUGGCAGCGGCAGCGCGGUAUCGUGGACAAUGGUCGCAAGGCUGAUCCAGCCAUGCCGCGGGAGUGAAGAAGGCUCUUGGGGUAUAGAGCCCUUUCGGCGCGCGCGAUGAAGGUGUUAGGCGUAGAACAAGCGCUGGCUAUGAGCGUGCCAGAAGCCGCGGUAA
rnacentral:rRNA from 1 species